UUAACUCUAUACCUAUUUUUAGUUGUUAGUUUCCGUGAAAGAAGUUACCAAAGUUUCCACCAUGCACUUGCUCCAACAUUUUCAAUCAACAGAUGGAGGUAGGCUGAUCAAUUUCUCUCCGAGUGACUAUACUACUACAAAGAAGUCAUAGUAGUUGUAAAUUAAGAAGGGAGUUCAAACAGUUACAAACAACAACAACGCAUGCAUGAUAUGCCAAUAUACAUUUAUACAAUUUGCAAUGUUUAAAUUUUUGGCUUACAAUGUGCACUGUAUGCUGUAUGAACCGUCAACUGUAGUUCAGUCAUACCUUAUAUAUACAGGAUGACAUAUUUGCCAAGCACAGCAUUGGGAUUUUGGCUCGGAUUUUGGAAUAGACUUUUUUCUUCAAAAACGGAUACUUUUAUUGAAUAUUCUUACCCUACACCGGAAAAUAAUAAACUUUUGGUUUUUCCCUACACAUACUAUUUUUUGAAGCCGUUCUGUAAGGAAUUUGGCACAUUUUUUAUGAAUAGUAAGGGGAUUUUGGAUGGAUGUGUGCGUCGGCGCGCGAAAUCGUAAGCACGAUCCCGUCACGCAGUGUAAACAAAUAAUUAUACAGGCGUUAGUAAAGCUAGGAAAAGUGAGAGAAAGUACAAUAUAAGUGUCUAAAGUGUGGUGAAGUGACCAACACUAAAAAAAAAAAAAUAGACUAACUGGAUGAACUGUAAGUACCUAAUAUAAAUUUAAGUACCUAUAACCUAUACGUACAUACAACAUAACAAGCGCGUUAAAUAGUCGACCGGCUAUCAGCUGACAGAUAAGAGUUGUUUAUUUACGUACGCGUAUCUAUAUCGAAUUCAAGAAUGGAAAACUUGCUAGCGGAUAUCAAAAAGCAACUGGAAGAUUUAAAUAGAACGUCGGAAUCGAAAGCAAAAUUGAUGACUGCCAGAAGCAGAUAAACGAAAUUAAAAAUGAGAAUGCUAAUUUGAAAGCGGAAAACGAGCAGUUGAAAUCAACGGUCGCACAACAAAACUAUAGAAUUGGAUAUCUGGAAAAAGAGAUCAAAAGAAAUAACCUGGUAAUUCAAGGUGUAACGGAGGCAGACGACGAAACGAAUAUACAACUAAAGGAAAAAAUGGAAACCAUACUAAGAGACAUGGGAACUCCGAUAACUUUCGAAGCCGAAAUCCAAGAACUGCAUCGUAUAGGAAUAAAACACGCAAACAAAACACGACCCAUAUUCAUGAAAAUGCGAAACUAUGAAACUAAAGUAAAGGUAAUGAAAAGCACAAAAGAAUUAAAAGGUACACAAAUCUAUAUAACAGAAGAUUUUCCAAAACAUGUUAUGGAGGAACGAAAAGUAUUGAGCAAGCACUUAAAAAAGGCAAGAGAAAUGGGACAUAGAGCUUUCAUGAAGUACAACAAACUAAUCGUAAACGGAGAAGAAUACGGAGUAGAAGAUAUCUUUGAAGAAUCAAGCAAUGAAAUACCUGAACAAGAUGCCACGAAGAAAGGAAGAACGAUCAGUCAAAGGUCCCCUCAGAGCGUGGUUUCUAAGAGGACGAAUAGCAUGGGUUGUCUACUAAAAAACUGAUACAUAACGAGCAACACAGUACAAAGGAGACGACACUGGCAAUGAAUAAAGGUAACGAGAUGGAACAAAUAAAUCUAUGGAAAUUCGGAACAUGGAAUAUACGAAGCAUAAACGGAAAAGAGGAAGAGUUGAUGAGAGAAUUUAAACAAGAGAAACUAGAUAUUAUAGCAAUAUGCGAAACAAAGAAGAAAGGACGAGGAGCCAUUGAGAUGGAUGAGGGAGAUGUACUCCUAUAUAGCGGCGUAAGCGAGGAAACGAGAGCAAGAGGGGGGGUAGCAUGUAUAGUAAGUGCACGGCAUGCAAAUAAACUAAUCCAAUGGGAAUUUAUUAAUGAAAGGAUGCUAAAACUACAAAUAAAAUUACAUCAAAAGGACCACACAACAAUAUUAAUAGCAUAUGGACCAAAUGAAGACGAAAGCGAAGGUAAAAAGGAUGAAUUCUGGGAAGCACUCUCGGAAAAUACGGAAAAUAUUGCAGAGAGGCUUAUAAUCAUGGGAGAUCUGAACAGCAGAGUGGGAAAAAAGAUGGAGGGAACACCAGAUGUAAUCGGCCCUUAUGGCGAAGUACACCGAAAUAAAAAUGGAGAUAGAUUAAUUAACUUUUGCGUAGAAAAUAACCUAAUAAUAGCAAACACAUACUACAAACACAAAGACAUACACAUGUACACAAGAGAGGCGCAAACUAGGGGAGAGAAGUCAAUAAUAGACUAUGUGCUAAUAAAAAGAGAAUAUAGGCACGAAGUAAUAGACGUGAGAGUGAAAAGGGGCCCAGACAUCUAUAGCGACCACUAUCUAGUAGAGGCAAAGCUACGAGUCAGAAACCAGAUGCAAAUAAAGCAAAAACAUAGACCACAUCCGCAACAGGUACAUGAGAAGAUAAGAACGUAUAAAUUAAUGGAUAAAGAAACUGGAAACAUAUAUACAGAAAAAAUAGAAAAACAUUUACUAGAAACUAGGCAUGAGUGGCGAAACAUGGACCUAAAACAUAUAUGGAAAUAUUUUAAAGAGAUAAUACUAUCGACAGCAGAGGAAACAUGUGGAUCAAUAAGGAUAAGAAAAAAUAAAAAACAAACAAGCUGGUGGAAUCAAUCUAUACGAGAAGAGGUAAGGAGCAAGAAAGAAAAGUGGAAACAAUAUCUGAUACGAAAGACGGAGGAAAGCUAUAGCAAAUACAAGCAACAACGAGUAAAAGUAAAAAACAUGAUAAUAGAGGCAAAACGACAAGCCUGGAUGGAGUUCGGUAAUAAAAUGGAAAAAGACAGUAAAACCAACCAAAAACUCUUCUAUAGGGUAUUAAAAAGUAUGAAGAAACCUAGGGAAUACAAAACCAUGCACUUAAAGGACAAAAACCACAAAAUAAUCACAGACCAGGGAGAAGUAAUGGAAAGAUGGAGGGAAUACUUCCAAGAACUACUUAGCAAUAACAGACAACAAGACACUACAAAUAAACAUGUAAGAAAUGAGGCAGUAAUAGAAGAAGAGGCGGAUGCCAUAACAAUGGAAGAGGUUAUACAGAGAGUAAAAGCGCAGAAAAAAGGGAAAGCAGCAGGACAUGACAAGAUAGCACCGGAAAUGAUACAAAAAUUAGGAAAAAACGGAAUAGAAAUGCUCACCACAAUUUUAAAUAAAGCUUGGCAAAGAGGAGAAGUGCCAGAGGAUUGGAGAAUAGGAGUGAUAAUCCCGAUACACAAAAAAGGAGACACAAAGGAUUGCUCAAACUACAGAGGCAUAACCAUCUUAAGUAACGUCGCAAAAAUAUAUGAAGGGGUCCUAGAGAACAGAUUGAAGCAGCAAAUCGAACACCAACUAGACAAUGCACAAAGCGGUUUUAGAAAAGGCAGAGGUAUACAAGAUCAUAUAUUCACCAUCAAACAGAUAAUGGAAAAAAUUAUGGAAUACAACAAACAAAUAUGCUUAGCAUUCGUGGACCUGGAAAAAGCUUUCGAUAGAGUUCCGCAAAGAUUAGUGUGGGAAAGUUUAGAAAGAAGAGGAGUUAAUGCAAAGUUAAGAAGGGGAAUAAGAAGCCUGUAUACAGAGAAUAGGAAUUAUGUACGUAAAAACAACACACAAUCAAAAACUUUUAACGUGGAAGACGGUCUGCGACAAGGAGGCGUGCUUAGCCCAACACUAUUUAUAAUAAUAAUGGAUGACGUUAUUAAAGAGGUGCGUAAAACAGUAAAGAAAGUGCAGGUAGGGUAUAAUAAACUACAACCGGUAGAAAUAAGUGAAUGUGUGUUCGCGGACGAUUUAAUGAUAUGCGCGAAAAGUGAACGGGACUUGCAAAUGAACUUAGGGGCAUGGAAAGAAGAACUGGAGAAGAGGAACAUGAGAAUCAAUUGUAACAAAACGAAAGUCAUGGUAAUUGGAAAGGAGAACAGAAGCAUGGACAUAGAAAUUGGGUCAGACAAAAUUGAACAGGUGGACGUAUAUAAAUACCUGGGAGUACUGAUACAUAGAGACGGCAGCAUGGAUGCAGAAGUGCAGGACAGAAUUAGCAGUGCAGCAAGAUUAUAUCACGCGCUAAGGAACAAAUUCAUCUCAAAAAGGGAAGUCAGUGACAAAACUAAAAUGACAGUGUAUAAAACAAUAUAUCGGCCAAUACUAACAUUCGGGAGUGAAACGUGGAACAUAACAAGCGCAAUAAAAAGUAAAGUGCAAGUAAUGGAGAUGAAGUUUUUAAGAAGGAUAAAAGGAAUAACAAGAUACGACAGAAUAAGGAAUGACACAAUCAGAGAGGAACUAGGAGUGGAAACGGUAAUCCAGACAAUAGAAACACAGCAACUAAGAUGGUUCGGUCACUUAAACCGGAUGGACGACAACAUUCCAGUCAAACGUAUAUGGGAAGCCAAAGGCCAGGGCAGAAGGGGAAGGGGACGACCUAAGAGAACGUGGAACCAACAAGUGGAAGCAGUUUUGGAUACAAGAGGAAAAACAUGGAUGGAGGCAAAAACGCUGUCCAGGAACAAGACACUGUGGAAAAUGCUUUUGAAAGAAAGUUAAGCAGUAUCGCGAAGCCAGAAGCCUCAGCUUUGUAUUCGCACUUACUGAUUAAUGUUUCUCAGAAGGCUGUUCAAAGAAUGGAACCUGAAGUGAAACGGUCUAUAUGCAAAAGAUGUCACACACUCAUGAUU